rnacentral:rRNA from 1 species
CAGCAGCCGCGGUAAUUCGAAGGGUGCAAGCGUUACUCGGAAUUACUGGGCGUAAAGCGUGCGUAGGCGGUUUGUUAAGUCUGUCGUGAAAGCCCCGGGCUCAACCUGGGAAUGGCGAUGGAAACUGGCGAGCUAGAGUACGGUAGAGGAGAGUGGAAUUCCCGGUGUAGCAGUGAAAUGCGUAGAGAUCGGGAGGAACAUCAGUUGCGAAGGCGGCUCUCUGGACCAGUACUGACGCUGAGGCACGAAAGCGUGGGGAGCAAACAGGAUUAGAUACCCUGGUAGUCCACGCCCUAAACGAUGAUGACUAGUUGUUGGAGGAGUUAAAUCCUUUAGUAACGCAGCUAACGCUUUAAGCAUUCCGCCUGGGGAGUACGGUCGCAAGAUUAAAACUCAAAGGAAUUGACGG